GACGAACGCUGGCGGCGUGCCUAAUACAUGCAAGUUGAGCGCUGAAGGUUGGUACUUGUACCAACUGGAUGAGCAGCGAACGGGUGAGUAACGCGUGGGGAAUCUGCCUUUGAGCGGGGGACAACAUUUGGAAACGAAUGCUAAUACCGCAUAAAAACUUUAAACACAAGUUUUAAGUUUGAAAGAUGCAAUUGCAUCACUCAAAGAUGAUCCCGCGUUGUAUUAGCUAGUUGGUGAGGUAAAGGCUCACCAAGGCGAUGAUACAUAGCCGACCUGAGAGGGUGAUCGGCCACAUUGGGACUGAGACACGGCCCAAACUCCUACGGGAGGCAGCAGUAGGGAAUCUUCGGCAAUGGACGAAAGUCUGACCGAGCAACGCCGCGUGAGUGAAGAGGGUUUUCGGAUCGUAAAACUCUGUUGGUAGAGAAGAACGUUGGUGAGAGUGGAAAGCUCAUCAAGUGACGGUAACUACCCAGAAAGGGACGGCUAACUACGUG
rnacentral:rRNA from 1 species